GGCCUGGUAGCUCAGUUGGUUAGAGCAUUGUCCAGCUAGGUCAAGGUUGCGGGUUCAAAUCCUGGUUAGGGCA
rfam:Myotis brandtii contig271984, whole genome shotgun sequence.